CCGAUGAUAGCUCAGUUGGUAGAGCGGCAGACUGUAGUUGUAAUGGUUAUCUGUUGGUCACCGGUUCGAUUCCGGUUCAUCGGAUUUUUUUACUUAUUAAAUAAAAGUAAAAAAAAUAAUAAAUUAAGCAUAAAAAUAAGACUUUUUAAUAUACAUAUAUAUUUUUUUUUUUUUAUAUACUUAAAGAUAAAACGCGUUCGACUUCAUAUUGGGAAAAAUAUAAAGUAUUAUGAAAACUUCUAUAUUUUUACUUUUACAUGAGCACUCAUAAAAUAUAUCAUAAAUACUAACGCAAAUAUUGGGUAUGAUAAUUUCUUCUCUUGUUAUUUAAAAAAUUAAAUUUUAGAACCAAUUUGUUAAGGUAAAAUAAAAAAAAUAAAAGCUAAGAAGUGCAAUAAAAUAUUUGCUAAACUAUCUGCAAUAUUCACAUUUUUUUUUUUUUUUUUUUUGGUUUCACUUUAUAUAUAAAAUGAAGUUUCAUUGUUUUAUGCACGAGCGUCUACUUCAGGUUUAUCAUACUGAAGGAAGCUGAUCAGAAUUCGAUUCAUGUGAAAUGAUUUUAGUUUUUUCUUAAGUCUUACAUUUGUGUAAUUUUUUUUUUUUUUUUUUAUCCCUUAAUUAAAACGAAAUAAAACAAACAUUAUAGUGUUCCAUAUUUGUGGUGUUUUCAUCGCCCCUCUUUUUUUAUGAAAAAAUUUGAGGAUUAUAAAAAAUUAUGAACACAUAACACAUUACACUAAAGGACACUUUUAUUUACAUGCUUUUGUCGGUAUGCAAAUAAACCCCUACACCACUUGAAAUGGCACAUUUAUAUGAAUAUACAUAUUUUCAUAACAAAGUGUUACGUGUAUAUAAAAAUGUUUUCAAGAAUUUUCUUAUGUUUCUAGAAUUUUUCUAAUCCAAACAAUUGACCAAAUGAUGAUAUGAUGAAAUAAAUUGAUCUACCUUUUUGAUAAAUUCUUUUCUUCAAAAGUUUGGUUUUCCUUUUAUACUUUAACAAUUAAGUGAAAAAAAAAAAAAAUGUGCAAUAUUUUUGCUUUAAUGAAUUUUUCAAAAAAAAAAAAAAAAUUAAUAAUAAUAAGGUAUGUCACAUAUGGUUAUAAAGCCUCAUUUAUGUGGUAUUAUCCCAUGUUACCCCUUUGUUUCAUUUUAUUUUGUUACAUUUUUCUAAUAUUCCAAAUAUUAUAGUAAAACCCACAACAAAUUGGAGCAAAAAGACAACCAAAAGUUAUGUACACUCCAAUACUUACACAGAAAUGUGUGCCUUGUCUAAUUAAACGAACACAAUCAACUGCUGAAUUAUUUUUAUCAUAUUUGUUAAAACCAUAAAAACUGAACUUCAUAAAUUCGAAAAACUAUUCUGUUCGUAUUAAAAGUCCCUCCUUUUACCACACUAGCCUCUCAGUUUGAGCUUAUAAAUAUCAUAUAUUCAUUAAUUGAAACUGUAAAAAAAAAAAAAAUAAUAAUAAUAAAUAAAAGCGUUGUAUAAAAUCUAUAAAUGGUAAUUAGUGGGUCGUAUUUGCCUAAUAACAACUGUCUCCAUACAUAUUAAACAUAAAACACAUCCGUACUUGUUCCUGAGGAGUCCAAAUCUACUUUGGUAAAAAAUUUUAUAAAGUCUGGCUUUUUCAUAUUUUUUAAAACUAUUGAAAUUUCUUCCGCAUCAAUAAGGCCUUCAAAAAGAAAAAAAAAAGAAAGAAACAGGUAAAUGCGUAAAUACAUACACAAUAUGCAUAAGUAUUGAACAUGUAAGUAAAGCAAAAAGUUGCACAUAUGUUGGUAACUGCAAUUAUAUUUUUAAUUGUUGAACGGAAAAAUAAACAGACUUAUAAAAAUAGUUUUUAAAAUCUUUUUUAAUAAAUGUUUUCUGGUAUUACAUAAUAACAGCAUUAUGUGUUUUCCAAAGAGAUUCAAUUUAAUCACUCAAACGUUUACAUAAGUACACACAAGUUAAUUUGAUAACAUUUAAUUAUUAUUAAAAAAAAAAAAAAAAGAACUUUCGAUUUAUGAGUUUUGAGAAUGAUUUAAAAAAUUAACUUACCAUCUCUGUUUAAAUCAUAAUCCACAAACUCUUCAUAAAUAUUUUCUUUCUCCUCUUCAGACAUGUCAGUUGGUACCUGAUUUAAAGAUUCAGUCCCAUUGUUUUUGUGAUGAAAUAAUACGAAAAAAAACGAAAAAAAACGAAAAAAAAAAAGGAAAAAUAAAUAUUAAAUCAAUCACAUUUACAAACAGGAUAUUUGCAUCUACAUAUGUACAUAGUUUAGUUAAAUAAGUUUCCCAUUUUUUACUUGAGAUUUUAGUUUAUUCCAAAAUGUUGUAAACACGAAUGUGAUUAAAAUUAACUUCAAGCAAGACAGUCUCAUAAUAUCUUCAAUUUGUUUUAUUGAAAAAAAUAAAGUAAAAAAGGGGGAGAACUUUAUUAACAAAUUUUCUUAUUUUUUAGGACAAAAUUUUUCUCAUACAAAUUUACGUCUUCCUAAGUAUGUAUAUGUGUAUAGAGUGUUUCAUAAUUGAGCACAGUGUAUAGAUUUUAUUCUGCACAAGACUCCUGUUGCGUGUUUUAAAUUAUGAAAUUUUCUUAUUAAACUGGAAAAAAUAUAAAAUAAAACAAAAUAAAGAAAAAUAAAAUUACGAAAAAAAAAAAAAAAAAAAAAUGGUAAUCAUAGACAAAUUCAUCAAUUGUAUUUACACAUCCGUAUAAUAUUUUAAGAACAUGCAUAUGCCUCACAAAGGAGAGAUUGUAAGUAAUUAGGGGCUGGAGAAAAUAUUAGCUUAUGAAUUUGCUUUAAUUUUUUUUUUUUUUUUUUGUUCCUUGAUUUUAGAAGCGUGUCAUAUUAAUUCCAUAUAUUCUACUUCAUUUUUCCCCUCCCCCUUAUCAAAUGUAUUGCUGAAAUUUAUGUUGUCAAGUUGGAAGAAUUCAAAUCCCUUCUUAAGUCACAAAUACGAAAAAAAAAAAAGUCAAAAAAGUGUAAAAAUAUAUGUAAUGGGCUUUCUAAAAUAACUUCUCUGUUACAUAAUUGUGCUCCUUACAUGGGUUAUCAUUUAUUUAAACAUAGAACAUGAUUUAAAAUGCAUUCCCUGCUUCUCAAUAUGAAAAUGUAGCAUUUAGCACUAAACCCAAUUUUGAACAUGCUUUAAAUGUGGAUGAAAUGUUGUGACGAAGCACAGUUGGAGUUACCUUCAUUUAAUUCAUAUGUGGAAAAAUGUCAGUUUUAAAAUAUGCUUUUUUUUUUUUUUUUUUUUUUUUAAAUGUAUAGAUAAUUGUACUUUAUGUUUCAUUACUCACAUAUUGCUUAAGUGGUGCAUGCAUAUGUGUUUUCACAUCUUUCAUUUUCAUUAAAAUCGUUCUUCUUCUUAUCCUUGAUUUCUCCAUAGUUCUCCCAAACACAAUUGCAUUGAAGGAGUAUUCACAGUAUAUUUACUUUAUCGAUUUGUUUUUGCUGAAUUGUCCUUAAAAAUUGAAGUCCUUUUGUUUUAAUCGUUUGCAGAAAUACAAGUUUUCUUAAAAUUGGCAUUAUGAUCAACUUAUAAAAAAAGUAAUUAUGCGCAAAAAGAGGCAAACACUCUGUUAAACAAUUUACAUAUCAGUAAAAUAUAUAUAUAAGUGGGGACAUUUUAUAUUUCAAAAUGAAAGUCUAAUUCUUUUCCGCUUCUUUUUAUUUAUUUAUUUUUUUUUUGUUGUUUUUGUAUCUUACAUAAUUUAAUCAUGCCCUCACCACUACUAUUAUACGGAACAGAAAUUUUUUAAAUGAAUGAAAUAAAAACACACAUACACACAAGGGGGAAAUUAUGUUUGAUUUAGCCCAAUCGUCCAAUGCAACCCACCUAUUUCCAUUUCUCUGAUUUUUGUAAAAAGGAAUUUAGGGUAAACCCACAUGUUAUGCUAUAUCCUUACUCCAUCCACAUGGGACGCACAAAAAAAGAACAAGACGAAAUAGUGUAUAUAGGAAUAUGUGCAUGCUCAUAUAUAAAUCCCCAAAAGUACAUGAGUAAAUGCAGAAUUCUCUAUACACACAAUUAUGUAGCAAACCCAUGUAUACAGCCAUAUAUGCACACACACAUAUGCACAUGAACUUAUAUGGAGAAAAUGGAAAAUGAAGAAAAUGCAAACCACCAAAUUUUUUUUUGCGACACAAUUACUAGCAUAAAUCGUCUCACAGGAAAUGAAUUUUAUUUCUAUUCUAACGAUGAUGCGGAUAUAUAUAGGAAAAAAAAAUGCAAUGAAUUGCAAAUAGGUGAAGCGAACACAGGUGACCACAGUGAAUUGCAACCCUUAAUUAUAAAUGAUGGAGACAUCAAAAGGAACAAACUGAAGAAUCAAAAGCAGAGUGAAAUACAAACGGGAAAAAAAAAACAAUGUAAGGUUAGUAAAAAAGAGCAAGGAGACACAAGUAAUUACUUCUCUAGCGAAAGAACAAUUAAUGAACACGUAUAUGAGGAAAGAGAAAGAUUAGUCUUUGAACAAGAAUUUAACAAAGUGCACGACAUGUAUAAUGUCGAAGAAAUUAUGAAAAUCAUAAAUAAAUUAAAUUCCAUAAGAAAAGAAAUUGAAACUGUAAUAUAUAAAAAGUUAGAAAAAAAAUACAGUGAAUUUCUUACAGCUUCAGACAAAAUUAAAGAUAUAGAAAUGUUCAUAAAAAAUAUUAAUGACUUAGUAGUGGAAAAUACUAGAGAGCUAAAACUUCUGCAAGACAAAAAAUAUAGACAAAGUUUAAACAUAAUAAAUCUUGUUACUAAAAAAAAAAAAUUCCAAAAAAUUAAUUUAGUUAUAUUAACUAUAUAUAUUAUAUAUAUAUGUGAUAGACUAAUAUUUAAAAGUAUCUUAAAAAAAGACUAUGAAUAUGCUUCCUUGGUAUAUUUUGAGUUAGUCAAUUUUAUAAAAGCAAAUGCCAAAUACCUUGACAAAAUUAAUUGUAUACUUCAUUUAAAGGAAAAAAUUAUGCUAGAAUAUUUUGACAGAUUAAAGCAAAAAAAUCAAACAAGUUUUGUCGAGUUCUUAUUUUCAAACAAUACAAACAAAAAUUUUGAAGUGCAAUUAAAAAACUCCUUCAAAAUUUAUUACUUGCUUUUUAAAAGCAAGCCUUCGAAUUUUAUCGAAAAUUUGUUAGCCUUUAUAUACCAGUGUUUUCGAAAAAUCUCAAAACAAGUCAUUUUUUCCUUCUUAAUUGUAAUCAAGAAGAGUGGAAGUAGAGACAAACAAAAGAAGGAAGAAAAAAAAAAAGAAAAUCUGAUAGAUGCAAAAAAAGUAGCAGAAAAUACCAAACAGCAGAAAGGGGCAGAAAAUGGCAACUACUCCACACAAGACUUUGAUAAAAAAAAUUCAUUUUACAAAGAAGACAUAAAAAAAACAGUUGACACUUAUGAAUUAAAAACAAAUGGUUCGUGUGAACAUAGCCCAAAUGAUACCCCAUCAUUGUAUGAAAAUUGUAUGUAUGAAGAUAUAAAUAAUAAGAGUUCAAAUCAAAGAAAAAAUAUAGUGCAAAAUGUAAACCUUAAAAAAAACGAAGGAACAUCUCGUCUUAUAGCAAAUGUUGAUGAUUCUUCCUCCCCAAGAGAUACUAACAUAAGUGAUGUGACUAACCCUGGAUAUGAAAAUAGAGACAAAUUAAAAAUGAUAGGAAAUAAAACGAUAAAUAACAAUUUAUCAUCAACUUUGAAUAACCCAAAUGAUACAUUCGAAAUUGAUAUAAACCACAUUCAAGAAGAAGCAAACUUUUUGUUUAUUCCUCUCAAUGAAUUGGCGCAAAAAUUAAACGAGAAAAACUGUUUGACUUCUCUUCUUAAAAUUUACGAAAUUGUGUUUGAUGUGAUGAAAAAAUAUGACUCCAUCAUCAUUUAUUUAUUAAAUUAUAAAAAAAAAGAACCAUCUAAGGGAGAUUCAAGAGGGUUAAAAAAAGAGGACACAUCACUUAAUCACAAUAGCAGGGAUUCUUCAGUAGGUGACGACACCUUCCAAUUUUCUAAGUAUCACAAUAAUAGGGGAAGUAUAGUCCUUGAAAAUGAACCGUUCGAUGAAAUUGGUAAGAUGGACAAGAAUGAUCCGGAGGGUGAAAAUUUAUAUAAGUACAACUUUCAGUCAAACGA